UACAGAGGUCUCAAGCGUUGUUCGGAUUCAUUGGGCGUAAAGGGUGCGUAGGCGGACUCUUAAGUCGGUGGUGAAAUCCUGGAGCUCAACUCCAGAACUGCCUUCGAUACUGAGAGUCUUGAGUCCGGGAGAGGUGAGUGGAACUGCGAGUGUAGAGGUGAAAUUCGUAGAUAUUCGCAAGAACACCAGUGGCGAAGGCGGCUCACUGGCCCGGUACUGACGCUGGAGGUGCGAAAGCGUGGGGAGCAAACAGG
rnacentral:rRNA from 1 species